GGAUUGCGGCGACGUGAGCGGUUCGCUGCCCGCGACGUCGCAGAAGUUCGCUGAACCUUAUCAUUUAGAGGAAGGAGAAGUCGUAACAAGGUUUCCGUAGGUGAACCUGCGGAAGGAUCAUUGUCGAAUCCUGCCCGGCAGACGACCGCGAACAAGUUAACGAACCGUCGGGCGGCCGGCGGGCGCGGGAAAUCUCGCUCGUCGGCUCCCGAGCAAAAACCGAACUCCCGGCGCGGAACGCGCCAAGGAAUACUGAAACGGAUCGCCGGCCUCCCGCGGCUUCCGCGAGGGGCGCCGGGCGUCUGGUCGUUUAACCGAAACGACUCUCGGCAACGGAUAUCUAGGCUCUCGCAUCGAUGAAGAACGUAGCGAAAUGCGAUACUUGGUGUGAAUUGCAGAAUCCCGUGAACCAUCGAGUUUUUGAACGCAAGUUGCGCCCGAAGCCAUCAGGUUGAGGGCACGUCUGCCUGGGCGUCACGCAUCGCGUCGUCAACCCCCUCCACGCCCCUGCGCGGGACGGACGGGGUGACGGAUGUUGGCCCCCCGUGCCCCUUGCGGCGCGGUCGGCCUAAACGCGAGCCCCCGGCGCGGGACGUCACGACGAGUGGUGGUUGAACCCCUCAACUCGAGAGCUGUCGCGACGACGCCCGACGGGGAGCUCUCCCGACCCUGGAGCCGUCGGCCCCCGAGAGGAGCCGCGAGCCUCGACCG
rnacentral:rRNA from 1 species